rnacentral:rRNA from 1 species
AUUGAACGCUGGCGGCAGGCCUAACACAUGCGAGUCGAGCGGAUGAAGGGAGCUUGCUCCUGGAUUCAGCGGCGGACGGGUGAGUAAUGCCUAGGAAUCUGCCUGGUAGUGGGGGAUAACGUCCGGAAACGGGCGCUAAUACCGCAUACGUCCUGAGGGAGAAAGUGGGGGAUCUUCGGACCUCACGCUAUCAGAUGAGCCUAGGUCGGAUUAGCUAGUUGGUGGGGUAAAGGCCUACCAAGGCGACGAUCCGUAACUGGUCUGAGAGGAUGAUCAGUCACACUGGAACUGAGACACGGUCCAGACUCCUACGGGAGGCAGCAGUGGGGAAUAUUGGACAAUGGGCGAAAGCCUGAUCCAGCCAUGCCGCGUGUGUGAAGAAGGUCUUCGGAUUGUAAAGCACUUUAAGUUGGGAGGAAGGGCAGUAAGUUAAUACCUUGCUGUUUUGACAUUACCAACAGAAUAAGCACCGGCUAACUUCGUG